UAAAGGUGAAGACAUCAGGUAUUGCACUGUACGUUGUUCUUCUACUAGCCGUAGCCGAGCCACUUUUUUUCGCGGCAGAAGGAUGUGUUAUUAGUGAACUGCAACCUUGCGCAUCUGCCAUCGCGUCCGGUACUCCACCUUCUGUAGAGUGCUGCACUAAUUUAAAGCAACAGCAGCCUUGCUUUUGCGAGUACCUCAAAGACCCAAGCGUAGGAGGGUAUGUUAAAUCUCCCAACGCCAAGAAGGUUGCUCGUGCUUGUGGAGUGUCCAUUCCCACUAAUUGUUAACUAUCUAUGCUUCUGUAGACUACUUAGGGAGUACUAUUCCCAGUAAAAGUAAUAUGGUAGCUAGCUUUAAUCAGAAUAAUGAUGCACUUGUGUCCAUCUUUUUAAUAAUGGAAAAUAAAUAACUCUUGGACCACCUAUCUUUUUAACCUAUUAGCAUGGGAUGUGUAAAGGUUGUUGGACAGGUCCACAAGUAUUAUUUAUAAUUGUUUCUCACUAUAUGAAUAUGUAUUUAUAAUAGAGAUAAUCGGAAAACUAUAUGUGAGAAUGAUGUGUUGGAAUUCUGAAACCACCUAUUAUUAUCUUAUUUCAAAUCUCUAUCCACGUUAUCUAGUGUAAUUUGUGUAUCAUUGACAACCGUUACUUCAAUUAUAUUUAACUCUAUCUCCCAAUGUGAAGUAACCAAACCUAUUUCUAAGAAUGACACGAGAAUAUCCCUGUAUUGAAUUCAUAUUAAAAAUAAUCCAUUCAUCUACACAAUUACCUCUCAUUAACAAAUCAAGCAACUAAUAAUCUAUAUGGUAAUUAAACAUUUAAAUAAUAAAUUAAGCAUGAAGUAUCAAUCAAGAACAGAAAUGAACUAAAUAACUAAUUUUGAAUUAAAAAUAAUCAAGCAAUAAGUUUCACCUUCAUCCCGACAUUAAAUAAUUUAUCCUAGCAUAAUCAUAAUAAAAUUACUGCAAGAAGUUUGGAAAUUCAUAAAAUACAAGAUAAAGAUGUAAAAUCAAUUUCUCGAGUCUUCAAUUCCAAGCCUCGAAUCUUAAAUUUCUUGAUGUUAAUUGCCUUCAAUUGUUUGCUAGAUUUGUUCUCCACAAUAGAUUACAAUAGAAUGUUGAAAGUAUAAGCUUGAGGUAGGUUAAAUCGCGAAAGCUACUAGUUCAACUUAUACUAUAAGUUAAAGUAGCUUACCUCUAGCUUAUUCCAGUGUGUAAAAGCAGAUUCUUAUGCUCGUGUGAAAAGCCCUGAAGAAAAAUUUGCGCCAUGCUAUAGCACAGUGGACAUCACUUAGCAUCAGUUCCUUUUAAAUGGGCAUUGCGAUCAAAUGCCUUCUACUUUUAGCCUUGAUCAAUUCAGUCCCUGGUCUUCUUCUUUUAAUUGGCUAAAGUUCAAGUAAUUUGCAAUUAAAUCCUUGAUUUCCAAUUCAUAUCCAAUUGGUCCUCAUCUCCAAAUUAAGUAAAUAUAACUCAUUUUAUCUCGAUUUCAUUCUUUUUUACCCAAGAUCAUCUAUAACAUCGAGAGUUUCACCUAAACAAACAAUAUUUACAUGAGAUUAAACUAUAAUUCCCUUAAAGUACUCCUAGAUAUCCAUGUGUUUACCUCUAAAUGAUGAUCAAACAAAUUACUCUCAACUAUCAAAUAUUUUUUGCUCAUAAACUUACUAUUCUACUAUUCAAUAGGGAGUAAGAAGAGAAAUGAAUAUUUGAGAAAAACUAUUUCAAAUUCAACAUAUCAUUCUUCAUCCCAAGCAUGCCUAUUUAUAGAUUUAUAUUUAGUCGUUGGAGCUAAAUGAGUAUUUUUAAUAGGCGAGAUGUGGUAGUUGUUGGUUAAGUGACUUCUAACUAAUUUUGUUUUCUUUUCACAUUCACCCACUAGCUUAAUCCUUAAGAUUUUGCUUAAGUAUAUUGGCUCGCAUCAUGUGAUUAAGGUCGCAUAUGAUAUUUCUCCCUCAUAAGUGCUUUUAGCUCAUUUUGAGUUUGCAUAUUUUUUUACCACUUCAGAGUAUUCACUUAGAUACUCUGGAUGAAUAUUUCAUAUAUAAGACUAUGUUUAAGCAUAUUAAUCCUUGAGGACUUCAUAAUGGUAUUAAGAUCUCGAUAUGGUUACUCUCGUUGACCCUCUGAAGUUAUAAUAUCUUUCACUAUUGAUUGUGAAGCAAUUCUAUCCACCUCAUACAGCAAUACAGACAGACCUGAUAAGUUAAUAUGAAACCUAGAGGCAAAUGCCUAGACAAAAGCGUGAACAAAUGAUAGAAAACUAGAUGUCUGAUGAGUUCACUAGCAGAAUUAGCUUAAACUCUUGGUAAAUAAAUGGCGAAAAGUUUCAACUCCUCCUAAGAUUGGAAUCUAUUUUUGCAGCACAUACAAUGAUGCGCUCAUAUUAGCAAUGCUAAAUGGGAAGUGGGAUAGAAUUGGAGCAUGCCACAUGCUAUUUUAGUGUGAUGCAUUUAAGUACGUAUAGAAAUAUUUGAAAAUUUUGGAGUGAGUGAGACGUAAAGAAUAUGCGAUGAACUAUUUAAGGGCUACAAUGAAGCCGAUUUGGGGCCAUUCUGAUGCAUCAUGCAUCCUAUGGAUAGUGUGUGGGUAAACAUAGCAUAGUAAUACAUGGAUCAAGCCUAUGAGAUGUGCAUGCAAUAUAAGGUUCAAUUAAUGUCUUGUUGGAAAAUGAAUGAAAGGUACGAUGAACCAAAAACUAGAUUCAAACUAUCAAGUAACUAGAUUGGAACCACGUCAUAGCAGGAGAUUGAAGUUUAAUAUUGUCGUUGAGGUUCAAAAACACUAGGGCGUUGUUAAUUUAUGGGAUGUGAUGCAAGUCAAGAAUUGGGUGGUGGCGGGCAUCCAAUCCAAGAGGAUAUCAGGGUUUCUGCAGCUACUGAUGGUGAGGCCAUUGCAUUUCAAGAAUGGCUAUUUUUGCAUGAGAUUAGGGCUACCAAUGACCUAUAACAGUGUAUGAAUCCUUUCAUGUCAUCACCAAGCUUCAGUCCGAGUUUGAUUGUGAUCCCUAUCAUGGAUAGUCCCUAACGAGCAACCAAUUUGGAACUAUUUUUUCCCACCCCAUCAACACCCCUGAUUCCUCCCCAAUCAUAGCCACCCUCUCCAACUGAUAAACACUUAAUUGUCCUCAGCAUUUCUGCUCAAAUUAAUGAAAAGCUAACACCCUUUUCCACAAUGGCGUGCCCAAUUUGAAGCCCUUUUUAUUCAGUAUGACCUCCUUGACUAUAUCACCGGAGACCAUCCACGCCCCAUUCCUAAUGGUUCCACUGCUUUUACUCUCCAAAAGACACACUAGGUUCGUCAAGAUAAGCUCAUCCUUGAUGCUGUUCUGGCCUCUACCACUAUGGCCAUUACCUUCCUUACCUUUGCUACCAAAGGUCCCAAGAGGCAUGGAAGAAAUUAAAUACCAUGUAUGCGAGUAAAUCAUGAACCUAAUCGAUGUAACUAAAUGAGAAACUUACCUUGAUUCAUCGGGACAAUCAUUCCAUACCCGAUUAUCUACAUACGUUGAAAGGCCUUGCAGAUGAUAUUUCCCUCAUUGAUCAUCCCGUAUAUAGUGAUGAUCUUAGCUUUUACAUUCUUCACAGUUUGGUCUCGAUUUCAGGAGAUUUUCAUCUCUAUUCGUGCUCGAGCGAACUCGCUGACCUUUGAAGAACGCUAUAAUCUCCUUGUUAACCAUGAAAGCUAGUUUUGUCACCUUGAAGCAAUCGUUCAGCACCUAGUUGCCACAGCCAAUUCCACCUAUUGAUACUCUAAUUUGCAUGAUGCAACUAGAAGUGAAAGCCCCUAGCAAUGUGGGUCUUAUAAGGCCAAUGGAUCUUUAGAGUCUUCAGCCUAUCUCACCCCUAACAACAUCGUGACAAUAGGAGGCCCCAAAACUCCACCUGUCGAUUUAAUUCAGGCAAGAGCCAUUAUCAGUCGAAAUGCCAGUUUCGUAAUCUAUUGUGAUUACUGCUCAAAAAAAUGUCCACCAUUACAUUCUUUCGAUAUCACCGUGAAUUGUUCCUCCAUUUCUCAACUAAAGAAAAUAAAUGGCUCAUUGAUUCUGGGGCAUCUCACAACAUUACUGAUGAUUUAGCAAAUUUGUCCAUCCAUUUUGAAUAUUAUUAAACAUAUGAGUUCGUAAUUGAUGAUGAAUCAAGUUUGUAUGUCACCCGUGUUGGCUCUUCGGAAUUUCAAACACCCAUCAUACUUCCCAUUUGGAUAAAGAACCUUGAGUUCCUAGCAUCUGCAAAAAAUUGAUAUCUAUCAAUACUAUCACCUAUCUUAUAAAUCAUCGACCCACACCCUUGUUAAGGAACAAAUCUCUCUAUGAAAUCUUACUUGGCCAACUUUCUAUUCACUAGGCCUUACGACACCCAUAAACUUCAGUUAAAAUUCAUUCUGUGCUUAUUCGUUGGCUAUUCUCAAACCUAAAAUGUAUACAAGUGUCUCAAUCUUAAAUCUAACAGCUUGUAUAUCUCUUGACAUGUUCUAUUUGAUGAGAGCCAAAGCCCAAUCUAAUUGCAAAUCACACAGAGUAAGUGCCACUCAUCUAUUCGGAUUGCAUCACAUUCGUUACCGUGUCAUAGCUUCAGACUAUGUUGAUAUUGCUUCCACAUCACCUUUGGGUAACUCUCGCCUUCCUUUUUAAGUCAAUCUACCUCACAUACACCCUAUACUAAUUUAACCAGCACCACCGUAAGGUCAUCUAUCAGGUUUAUCACCUGCACCGCUUUUUCUUAUCCUCAUCCCAUUGAUCACUCGCACUCCUAUCUAGAUAAAGCUAUCCCUGCCCCACCAUGAAGAACUCACGUAAUAGUUACUCGAUCCCAAAACCAUAUAUAUAAACCCAAACAAUUUAGUUCAAUCACAAAACAUCCUUUCCAACCCACCAAGGCACCAAUUGUGUAAGUCAACCAUGUUGUGAUCCCCCCAAUGGAGCUUUGCUAUGUCGGAUGAGCUCACUUCCAUCAUGAGGAAUUUUAUAUUAGAGUUCGUUCCAUUUUCUAAAGAAUGUAAUCCAAUAGAUGUUUCAGGAUAAGAGAAAGGUGGAUAGGUCUAGUGAUCAAUUUAAUUCUCGACUUGUGAAACUAGCUACUAUCAGAACUAUUUUGACAAUUGCUAUGAUAUAAGGGUGGUUAUUAAGAUAUCUUGAUGUGAAUAAUACAUUUUUGCAAGGUGAGUUGACUGGGAAUGUGUAUAUGGUUCAGCCUCCAGGAUUUAAGGAUACGUCCAACCCCGAUCACAUUUGUAGAUUGAGCAAUGCCAUUUAUGAUCACAAACAGGCUUCUCGAGUGUGGUACUCGACUCUAAAAUGUGCCUUGAUUAAGCUUGGUUUUCAAAAUUUAAAACUGAUUCAUCCUUGUUUAUCUAUUGAAAUAGUUCCAUUAUAUGAUAUUUUGUGGUUUACGUGGAGAGUCAUGCUACUUGUACAAAAUUAGUUGACAAAGUUGGUUUACAAAACGACAUUUACACCAAUCAUUUAAAAAACUCUUUUUAAAAUCAUUUCAAAUCAAAGGCCAAGUUUUGCCAACACUUGUUUUGUCAACCAUUUUCGUCAACUUGUUUUUGUACAACUAGAUUAAUUGUUACGUGGAUGACCUUGUUAUCGCAAUUGGUGACCCUAAGUUUGUCACUUCACCUAUUUAUGGUCUUGGUACACAAUUUUUUCUCAAAGACAUAGGAGACCUCCAUUUUUUAGGUGUGGAGGUCAUCUACACCACAGCAAGCUUAUUCUUGUCUCAGUACAAAUACAUCUAUAAUCUACCAUCUAAUACCAAUAUGCUUGGUGUCAAAGAUGUCUAUACUCCAUUGUCCACCGGAAUUUCUCUGAAAUUAAUUAAUGGUACCUCAAUUGUUAAGAGCACAUAAUUUCAUCGUGUGAUCGGGGCUCUUUAAUACCUCUCUCUCACACAGCCCGAUAUCUUCUUUGUCAACAACAAAAUGUCGUUGUUUAUACAUAAGCCAAAUAUCGCCCACUAGGCCACCACAAAGCGACUCUUUCACUACCUGAAGCAAACAAUCUUCCAUGGCAUUCAGUUCCUCAAGAAUGUAAACUCUGUUCUCACCACAUACUCAAAUGCUAAUUGGAUGAGCAAUCUUGAUGACCAUACAUCUAUCGUAGCUUAUAUAUCAGUUUUCUUAGCUCCAAUCCCAUCUCUUGGAGCUCCAAAAGAUUGCGGUUGGUCACCUGCUUAUCUACUGAGAUCGAAUAUAUGGCCUUUACCAAUGCUGCCUCUGACAUAUUGUGGUUGCUUGUGUUGUUCAAUGAGUUAGGAUUUCCACUCAAGAAUUUGCCAGCAUUGUUAUGUGAUAAUCUUUGUACAACGCAUUUAAGCUUUAAUCUGGUGCUACACUCAUUGAUGAAGUACAUGUAGAUUGACUUACACUUUGUUCAAAUAUUGUUCAGCGAAGUAUAAUCCAUGUUUGACAUGUCAACACCUGAGAUCCAUUGGCGAUCUUCUAAACAAACCGUUGUCGAGACGACGUACGGAAGUUCUUUGGAACAAGUUGGUCUAGCCGAUAGCCACUCCAUCUUGUGAGAUUGUAUUAAGGAUAAUCCCUCAAAUCAAACCAAAAACGAAAAUGAUUAUUCUUAGGCUUAAAUCAAGGAUAAUCAUAGAAUGUAAAUGUUAGGAAAUUGUAGUCACAGAAUUAGUCUAGUUGUUUAAAAUAGAUUUUGUAUGAUGUGUAUAAAGGUUGUACGAUCAUGUAAAUCAAAAGCGUGGAAAAAUCUUAUUGAUCAAGUAUUACAAAAACUAAUUCUACCCUAUAAUUUCUAUCAAUCCCAUAGCUGGAAUAUAUUCUGAUAUUUCAUCUUUGCUUUCCAUGUAAAUUAUGGGUCUUGUCAUUUAACCUUCCUUGAAGGAAAUGAAGUGGUCGACAGUGUUGCUACAUUUUUUUUUAUGCUGAUUGGCUUUGUAGGCAGGGAUGAACUGGUUGCACCUCAUAUUUUCUAUCAUCACCUAUUUAGGACAAUAUGAUUUAGUUCCUGUUUGACAGAAUUUUUUUAAAAGAAUGGGUGUUUGAAUAGUAAAUUUUUGGAGAAUGUAUGCUUAAAAAUUAAAAAAAAAACGUUGAAUUUAAGUAAAUAAUAUUUUAUUGUGAGAAUGCAUGGGUUAAAAAAGGUAUUAAAAAAAAAAUUUGAAAGAACUGCUUCAAGCUUCAAAAAAAUAUUUUGUGUUAUUAAUCAAGAAAUUUUAAUUUAAUUUAAGUCAUGGUCCCAGUCCCAUCACAUAGUAUUCUUGACUUCAAGCUGUGGUCAAGUAACCAUAUAAUAUUUUGACUGAAGAAACCAAACUGAAACGUAGAACAUAGACCAGGGUCACUACAUAUACAAUGAAACUAUCUAAUGGGCAUAGGUGUUUAGAUUAUAUUAAGUAUCGAUAAUAUGACAUAUCAAUAGGUUGGUGAAUAUGUUAAUGGUAGGUCCCAUGAAUUUAAUGAUUCACCAAUUCAUAUAUAUAUGCCUUAUUCGAAAGGGAUUAAAAUCUAGAUUUUAAUUUAAAUUGAAGUUAAUAAUGAAUUUUAAUUAUAUAUUUCAUGGGUCCUAUAAAUUUUUAAUCAAAUAUUUUACCAAUUUUUAUCAAAAUCAACUAAAAAUUUGAUUUUAAUCACUACCAAACAGAGAUUUAAUAAUUUUCACUGUGAAAUAUCUAUAUCAUUAUCAAAACAAUUAGAACAAGUAAUCUCUCAUACUUAGUUACUUAUCUUGUAACACAAACUAACCAAAUAUCAAAAUAAUUACUGAAAGAAACUCGCACAUAUUGUUUAGCCUGUAUAAUCUAACUCAAAGUCAAUAAUUGUUUUUAACUAUAUAUAGAAUUUACAAUUUUUCAACCACAUGUUUCAUCAUCUUUUAUCAAAAAUUGUUAAUCAGAAUUCGAAAUGAAGAGGAGAAGGAUGAUAAUAUUCUGAAGUGAAUAGGUCUUUCAACCAUUAGUAAGAAACUGAUUUACAAGAGAUAUAAAAAAGAUGUUCUAGCACAUCUUUCUACCAACUACCUGCUACAUCCUUAUUUAAGGACACAUUACAUUAUUACAUAAAGACAUGCUGGUGCAGGCUAUACAUCAGAAAAAAUGUAAAGGACUGCUCCCUAUAAUCAUUACAAAAUACAUAGGGCUUGACAACAAAAUAAACAUAGCUUAGCCUUAUACUUGAUACUUAAGGACUCGACAAUUGUGACAACAAAAGUGGCAACAACAUCAAUACUCCUCCUUGACACUUUUGUUGGAAACACCAAGACUCUUUCUAAGUGUUUCAAAUCUUCCCUUGGACAAGGACUUGGUUAGAAUGUCGGCAUAUUGAUCUUCACCUUUGCAAUGUACCAGCUUUACCUCACAAUUUUCUUGUGCUUCUCUAAUUGCAUGGUACUUGAUUUUAAUGUGUUUCGAUCUUCCAUGGAACACUGGAUUUUUUACCAUAGCUAUAGCUGAUUGAUUAUCACAAAAAAUUAUAGUUGCCUCAGUUUGUUUAACAUCCAAAUCCUCCAGCAUUUUCCUCAGCCAAUGUGCCUGAUUUGUUGCUUCUACUACUGCUACAUACUCUGCUUCUGCUGUUGAUUGAGCAAUAGUUUUCUGCUUCAUUGAGUUCCAGCAAACAAUGUUUGUUCCAAGAUAAAAUGCAUAUCCAGAUGUGCUCUUCAUAUCAUCAAGAGAUCCAGCCCAGUCACUGUCUGUGUAUCCAAUUAAAUUCUAGGAUUUUGACCUCUUAAACCAGAUUCCCAAAUCAACACUUCCUUUGAUAUAUCUCAAAACUCUUUUGGCCGCCUAGAAAUGCAAUUCACUUGGUUCCUCCAUGAACCUCGAAAGCAAAUUAGUAGCAUAAGUGAGGUCAGGUCUUGUGAUUGUCAAAUAUAAUAAACAACCAACCAAGCUCCUAUACAACUUCCCAUCAAUCUUCUUACUACCAUCGUCUUUCACCAUUUUCACAUUUUGAACCAAAUGAGUUACUACUGGUUUACAGUUGUCCAUGUUGAAUUUCUUUAAUAUCUCAAUGGCAUAUCUUCUUUGACACACAAAAAUGCCUUCUUGUGUCUAGUAGAUUUCCAUUCCAAGGAAGUACUUCAUCUUUCCUAAAUCAGUCAUUUCAAAUGACUUCAUCAUUUCUGCCUUAGUUCUGUCUAUCAGUUCCUUAUUGCUGCUGGUUAUUAGAAGAUCAUCAACAUAUAAGGAAAAUGAUGAUUGACUCUUCUUCAAUUUUCUUCAUGUACAAGGUCUGUUCAUUGACACUUCUCACAAACCCAAGGCUGCUCAUGUGUUCAUCAAUUCGGCUGUACCAGGCUCUUGGAGCUUGCUUCAGCCCAUACAAUGCCUUCUUCAGCUGAUACAUUUGUCCUCUUCUCUAGCUACUUGAAAGCCAUCAGGUUGAUCGACAUAAAUCUCCUCAUUUAACCAGCCAUGUAGGAAAGCUGAUUUAACAUCCAGCUGAUGAAUUUCCCAGCCUCUUUGAGCAGCUAUAGCCAGCAACAAUCUUAUAGUUUCAUACCUUACCACUGGUGCAAACCUGUUUGAGUAAUCAAUACCAUAUUGCUGUGCAUACCCUUUCACAACAAGUCUGGCCUUAAGCUUGUUAAUAGAUCCAUCUGAGUUCAUCUUGGUCUUGAACACCCAUUUGACUCCAAUAACAUUUUUGUUCAUUGGCCUAUCUACCAGCUUCCAAGUUCCAUUCUUUUCAAUCAUCUUAAGUUCCUCCUCCAUUGCUGCCAACCAUUCAGAUGAAUUUACAGCUUCAGCAGCAUUUGUUGGCUCUAAUAUUACUGAAUUGCACCUUGCAUAUACAUCAGCCAAUGACCUGGUUUUUAGUAUUGGAUUCUCAGUAUCUGAUCCACUAUCAGCUUCCAAAGGAUCAGCUUCCAAUACUUCAAGUUGGUUUUCAUCAGGAUCUUCUUCUUCAUUGAUUACAGCCUCAUCUCUUUGUGGAACUAUUCCUUGAUCAUGUGAUCGAAUUAAUGUGUUUGACUCCCUAUUCUAUGAGGAUUCUUCAUCUAUCUUGAUAUCCCUGCUGGAUAUUAUCUUCUUGGUUCGAGGAUUGAAAACCUUAUAUCCUUUAGCAUUGCUGCAAUACCCAAUCAAGAUGCCAGAUUUAGCCUUUUGACUUAGCUUAUCUCUUUUAGGGUCUGGAAUGUUGAGUAACAAAUACUACCAAACACCCUUAGAUGAGCAACAUCAGACUUGAUUCCAUACCAAGCCUCAUAUGGUGUUUUCAUAUUCAAAGCUUUUAUGGGGAGUCUAUUAAGAAGAUAUGAGGCAGUACUCACAGCUGCUGCCCAGAACUCUUUUGGAAUUGAUUUCUCAAUCAUCAAACACCUUGCCAUCUCCAUCACGGUCUUAUUCUUUCUUUCACACACUCCAUUUUGCUGGCGUGUGUAUGGAAUGGUCAACUGAUGUUUAAUUCCAGCUGUCUCACAGAAUUUAUCAAGCUAAUUACACUUGUAUUCAAUUCCAUUGUCUGUUCUGAUGGUCUUAAUUCUGGAAUUGUACUCAUUUUCCACCUAUGUUUUGUACUUCUGAAACACCCCUGCAACUUCAGACUUCAACCUCAGGAAGUAUACCUAACUUAUCCUUGUUAGAUCAUCAAUGAAGAGUACAAAAUACCUGCUGCCAUUCAAUGUCUGAGUUCUCAUAGGACCACAUACAUCUGAGUGGAUUAACUCAAGUUUUGUUGCAGCUCUUCUGGAUUGACCUUUUGAAAAUGGAAGUUUGGUUUGCUUCCCACGUUGACAUACCUCACACACACAGGUAUCAACACAUACAUCAGGCAUAUUUUCAGCAAGCUUAUGCAGGUGCUUAAGUGAUGUAUAGUUUAUGUGUCCAAACCUCCUAUACCAAAGUGUGGACUCAUCAACUGAGCUUGUGAAUGCAUGUGAAGUUACCUUUUUCCACUCUAAAGGAAAACUUCUUUGUUUCAUCUCCACAGACAUCAGUUCAUUAUUACUUAGAUCUAAUAUAGUACAGUCAUUGCCUUUGAAAAUCAGUGUGAAUUUCUUCUCAAUCAACUGGCCUACACUAAUUAGAUUUUGAUCUAUAUUAGGCACAUAAAGGACAUCAGAAAUAAGCUUGGUACCUGUUGGAGUUUGUACAGAAACUACUCCAAUUCCUUUCACCUCCACUUGAUCUCCAUUGCCAACUUUAACUCUUGAUCUGUAGUUGUCACUCAAUUCAACAAAGAUGCUGAGGUCCGAAGUUAUGUGAUGGGUGCAUCCACUAUCCAGUAACCAGCCUCCAAUAUUGCUAGACAUUUUGUAGUUUGCAACAGCAAAGAGAUGCUCUUCCAGCUGAUCUAGUUGCUGACUUUCAACAAUUUUAGCUUGCUGCUCAAUCUGCUUCCCUUUCUUAUUUCUACAAACCCUUUGAACAUGUCCAAACUCCUUACAUGACUUGUAUUGCGCCCCUGGUUUGAACCAGCACCAAUUUGGAGAAUGUACAAUCUUUUGAUAAUGUGGACAUGGAGGAUUAGCAGAGUUUUUAUCAGCACCCUUGCUGCCUUCGAAUCUUCUCUUGUCUUGCUGAUUUUUCCUUGGCCUAAAGCUAGUCUGUGCCUUAUGCUUUCCUUUAACAAACAAGGCACCUUCUACUUGAUCUUCUUGCCUCAUUAACCUCCUUUGCUCAGUGGUUUGCAAGGCAUUAACCAGCUCAGAUAAGGUGAUGGAUGAUAGAUCUAGAGUCUUCAAGAGUUGAGAUUUUAGCUUCAAACUUUUCUGGUAAGCUAAUCAGCACCUUUUCAAUGACCCUUCUAUCAGGUAAAUCAUCUCCCAAAAGCCUUAUCUUGUUCACUACCUUAAUCAACCUAUCAGCAUAAUCUUUGACAGAUUCAGAAUCCUUCAUCUUCAGGCCCUUAUAUUUUCUUCUCAAGUUCAAGACUUGCAUUUGUCUUGUUCUUGCAUUGCCUCUGAACUCCUCUUGCAACCUGUCCUAGGCCUCCUUUGCAAUUUCACAGGUUAUUAUUCUGGUAAAAAUUGCAUCAGUCACAGCUGACUGGAUGUAAAACAAGGCUUUAAACUUUUUUGCAACCUCCUCACUAUGUUGCUUCAAUUGAGCAAUUGUAGGAUUUGCUCUUAAGGCUGGUGGUUCAACACUUGAUUCUGUGAUUUCCCACUGAUCAUAAGCCUUUAAAUAAGCCUUCAUCUUUGCUGUUCAGAAGUCGUAAUUCUCACCUGUGAAAGCAGAAGGUAAAGGUGCUGAGAAUCCAGCUGAAGCCAUUGGAUUUUGAUCCUAUGUCUCGACUAAUAUGGUGAAGGUUUUUAGUGUAGGUUCCUUGUUUUCUCUCUUUUUUGGUCUCACAGAUCCCUCCUUCAAAGAUCAUUCAAGCUCUGAUACCACUGUCAAUCAGAAUUCAAAAUGAAGAGGAGAAGGAUGAUAAUUUUCUGAAGUGAAUAGGUUUUUCAACCAUUAGUAAGAAACUGAUUUACAAGAGAUAUAAAAAAGAUGUUCUAGCACAUCUUUCUACCAACUACCUACUACAUCCUUAUUUAAGGACACACAUUACAUCAUUACAUAAAGAUAUGCUGGUGCAGGCUAUACAUCAGAAAAAAUGCAAAGGAUUGCUCGCUAUAAUCAUUACAAAAUACAUAGGGCUUGACAACAAAAUAAACAUAGCUCAGCCUUAUACUCGAUACUUAAGGACUCGACAAUUGUGACAACAAAAGUGGCAACGAACAUCAAUAAAAAUAACAAAAUCUUAUUUUAAUUGCCACCAAAUAGGGACUCAAUUUCCUUCCGUAUGAACUAAGCCUUUUAGCGAGAAAGAAAAUAGUUGAACAUUUAUUAAGGAAUACCAUAUUGUUAUAUGGCUCAUAAAAGAGAAGAAAAUCAAAGGAUAAAUGUACUAUAACAUUGAAAACUAAAGCAAGCAUGUCUACAUAUCUCGAAUUUGCUGUCAAAGAUAUCAAGUGUAGAUGAUCAAUAUUUGUGUUCACAUCUUGAUGAUCAAGUUUAAGCAUUGUUGGAUACAUCCACUGCAAUAUUGACAAUUUGAUUUUUUUAUAACAUUCCAUACUUAUUAGUAAGUUUACUUAUUGUUACUUUUUUUAUUUACAAGAUUAGAUAAUAUAUAAUCCUCAUUAUAAAGAAACGUAAGUGUGGUGAUGACGAAAUAAGUGAUGGAAUGGUUGAGUAAGAUUAAAAUAACAUGAUCCAAUCAAAUUGUCUAGGAAAAUGAGAACAAAUAUUUUAAGGAUUCUUACAUUGUAGCUUGGUCUUCACUUCGCGGAAUCGAUAACAAUACGAUAGGCAUUGCAGUUCGUCUGUAACUUCAUAACCCAAUGGUGGGACCUUGACUAUCACAUAGUCCACCAUAUUAUAAUUUCAAGAAAAAGAGGUAAAAAUAUUGGAUAUUUAAUCCCGUCCAAAAGUUUAAAUUUUAAGUAAGAGGACACUAGGACACUAUAUAAUGCAAUUAAAUAUUAUUUUUAACACAAAAGAUUAAUUUUUUAUUUUAAAUGAUUGACGAUUAACUUAUACUUAAAUAUUCACCUUAAGUAUUUAGAGAACAAAGAAAUUGAUAAUUUAAAUAUGGGCUAAAACAAUGUUAAUAAUCAACUUAUGGCGAAGUUUUACACUAGUUAUAUACCUUUAUUUUGUUUCAAAGUUAUUAUUGAAGUUUAUUUUUGUUUCAGUUUAUUUGGUCUAUUAACAUAUGUUAGCUUUUCUAGUAGGAUGUAUGACUUUACUGAUGAUAAGCUGAUGUAUUGUCGACAUGGACGUCUUCCACGUCACACGUUCUAUUAGAAAAACCGACGAAAUUUUACUAAAAUAAGUAGUGAAGUUGUGACUAUUUCGAAACAAAAGAAACUCAGUGGCUAAAAUGACACUUAACUGCAAGUUGAGUGACUAUCUGGGUUUUCCCCCAUUUAAAUAUUGUUUUAAAAAAGUUGAAAACCUUUUUUAACGUGGGUUGGUACUUCGUAGAAUUUAAAGAUGGUUUGGGGAGGACUUCAGAGUUUUAGCAAGUUUUAUUGGAGACUUGUAAUAGUGGUGCUAGUGAUGGGCAGACAACCUUGUUGUAGUGACAACCUUGAAGUAUAAAAAGGGGGCCGUGGACGACAGACAAAGACAAGAAACUCAUUAGUUUUAUACUCAGCAACGGCCCAUGUUGUUGGCGGGCCGUGCCAAAGCUGGUGGGGCUGUGGCGGUGCAGCAAGAGCUGCCGGCUGUGGUGGACCAAUUAUCUCCGCCCUGAUUUGAAGAGAGGCCUUCUUAAUGAAGCUAAGGAGCAAUUGGUUAUUGAUCUUCAAGCCAGUCCUGGCAACAGGUAUAUCAAAUUUGUGUAAUAUAUUUGAAUUAUUCGAGUAUUGUUAAGACUAGCUUUCUUUCGUUCUUCCGGUGCACUCGAUGCACAUUAGCCUUUAACUCAGAACAAUUUUCAAAGGUACGAAGUCAUUUUUGAAGGAAAAAUUAUGCAUUUCCAGAGGUGUUAUAUGUUGAGUUUUAGCAUACCUAUUAUUGAUCAGUGGCUUUGCUUGUUUUUCCAUUUUUCUUUGUGUUUUGUAUACAAGAACCACCUCGAUCAAUAAUUUUAAUUAUUUAAAUUUGAUUUCCAAUAUUUAUGUGAUCAUAUGUGCAAAAGUUUCAUAAAUAGAGGGAGAAAACUUGAAUUCAAGAUGUUUGCUUUAUAUAUUGUUGAACUAUUUUAUCUAAAUAUAUAUUUAAGAGGUGUCACAUUUAUCUAGUUUUCGAAAGAUAUAUAAUGUUAUAUUCAGUAUGUUGAAUCUACGCAAACAAAUAUGAAAAUUAGCAAACUUUAUUUUUCACAUGUCUUUUUUAAAUAUUAUUUAAUCAUGUUCAAUCAAGCGUCGCAAAUUCAAUCAAGCGUCAUUCUGGAAAGAAAGGUUUAUUUAAUCUAUGUGUUCUCAAUUAUUUAAUCUAUUUGAUAACUUUUGCAAACUAGAAGGUAUCAAGAGACAGUUCACAAUGACAUACACUACAUAGCAAAAUGAAGUGGCAGAGCAUUGCUAGAAAGAACAAGAGCAAUGUUGAGAUCUGUGGGGGCAAGCCAAAUCAUUCUGGGCAGAAGCUAUCAAAACUCCCUAUUUUGUGAUCAAUCGGUCACCACCAACCAUAAAUGAUUUGAAGACGCCUAUGGAAAUAUGAACUGGUAAGCCAGUUUGUUAUUCUCACUUACAUGUAUUUGAAAAUCCUGUGCAAGUUAUGUACAACACUUAAGAAUUAUCAAAGCUGAAUCCAAAAUCCAAAAAUGUAUUUAUUUGAAGUUUGACCAUCGAAAUUCGUGUACAUAUUGCUUAGUAUAGUGCACAUAUUUGAUUCGACAAAUCUGAACCAAGCAAUAAAUGACACACCCCGCCUCGUGUAACACCACUAGAUCCGGACGUGGCAUGCGCCGAAUGAUAGAUACCAACUAAAAGUCGGACCCACCAUCAAGGCUAUUACAAAUACAAUAUAUCACUUUUUAUACAUCAUUUUUUUAACAGAAUUUCGGUAUUAUCUCCUCUGUAAACAAGACUAACCAACCUGUGAUCAAUUUCACACAAAUCCCAAACUAUAGCACAGCACAAUAAAGAUAAGCCGAAAUCUUACUUUUACCAAGAAAUAAACAUAUGGAUACAUAAUGCAUAGUGAGUCUCAUAACUAUUUACAAGUGAUGCAAAAUCACAUCUAGACAUGAACAUGCAUCCCAAAACACUUACUACAUGUUCUAUGAAAUGAGUCAUACUAACAAACUCUGUCAUGUGGCUUUGAUUCCAAAAUCAAGGCUCAACUCCAAAAGAUACCCAGAUUCUCAACUAGUGCCUCAUAAGGAAAAACGUGAAAAAAUAUAGGAGUUGAUAGGUCAGUGAGUGGAAUUAUAGCCAAAAAGUGAAAUAUUCACAUAAGGUUAUAAAAAUAUCAUCUUAAAAUCACGAUAUAACAUCAGCUGAUAACCAUGCUAUGAUCUCAUCACAUCAAACAUGUUGAAAAAUUCACCAAAAAUGUAUUCUCUAACUGAAAUAUGUAAUCCGCCUCUCGUGUUAAGAACUUUCGCAACGAGCCUUUGGCCCCCUCCGUGAACGAAAGUCGGUCUCAAAGACCUCUCAUAAUCAAUUCUAGAACACAGCUAAGGCCCCUUUGUGAACUAUAGGUACACGAUCAAGACCAAUGUCAGGUCAAGACCCUCCGUGUAGAAUAGAACACGACCAAUGCCUCUCUGUGAACUAGAAGAAGUAUAUAAUCAUGGAUAUUUUUCUGGCCGAUCUCAAUAUUGCAUGUCUCACAUACCAAACAAAUCUCAAUAUCACAUGUCUUACAUAACAAGUCACAAAUAUGUCAUAAAUUAUCUUUGAUAUUUCACAUGUAUAAUAAUAAAAGAGAUUUCCAUCAUAACCAUAUAAUUCGAACACAUAAUUGCACACACUUUGACAAUAUACUUAAUUUAUAAAUAUUUUUAAAAUAUUUAUAUUUUUCCACUCACAGAACUAAUUACGCUAAAAUCAACUCGAUUGGUACGCUGUCUCGAUAUCUGUAUCGCCGCCUGAAAUAUGAUAUCAUUUUUAAAUCAAUAAUUAACUAAUUUAAGUAAUUUCAAUAAUUAAACAGGCAAUACCCGAACAUAAUUAUUUCACAUUUAGGCAAUUUCUAAAGUCUCUUUAAUUACUAAAAUUAAAUUUUCUUUCAUUUUACUCAAUUUCAUAGUUUAUUACACUUAAUCCCUUCAAUAAAAUUAAAUUUAAUCUAACAAUCUAACAACUAUAAAAUCAAACAUAACUUAACAGUAAGUAACUUUUUACUUACCUUUCAAAAUUGAGAAAUUCAAGCCUAACAGAAUAGAUCACUUAAUUCCUAAUAUAUUGGCAAAUUUUUCCCUUUUUUUUUUCUUCUUUUUCUUCCUCUUUUCCCUUUUUUCCCCCCUCUUUUUUUCCUUUCUCUUUUUCUAUCUUCUUCUUCUCUGCACCAUUGUUCUUGAGUGUGUAUUAUGUCUGUGUGUUAUUAAUUAAUGGUUUGGAUAGAUUUAUAAGGGAUUGUGCCCCCUUUUUUUUGUUUGAUGUUUGACUUUUAAAAAAAAAAAGUUAAUGUAUUAUAAAAACCACAGGAAAAAUGAAUGCAGAGACCCUUCUUUUGAGAAGGAACGAAUUAAAUGGGCAGUAAUGGAAAUUAUAAGGUAGAAAAUUGUAGCUCGGAUAUGGAUGCAAAGUAAUCUACAAGUGUGACAUAAAGAAUUGAACAAAACUAGGGGUGAAGGGUACACUGAUAUAUAUUACAUGUUUUUCUCCUGUAUAUGUUUCUAAACUAGCUUUUGGUGAAGGUGAUGGGGGCAAGGGAGAAUGUAGAAUUGAAACAAUAAUGAUAAUAUAAGGAAAAUGUGAACAUAAGGACAGUACAAAAUCAUAAGUAUUCUAGUAUCUCGUGGUGUUUCCAACAAAUCUUUUGAUCAUUAAUAGUGCGCGAAUGCCAUUGGACAUGUUCAUUUGAAAGUCAAUGUGGGACUGUGGGCAGUACUAUUCACGAGUGCAAUAGUGCCCUCAAUGUGAGAUGGCUUGAUCUUUGUGUUUCUAUGUCUAAGGUUUAUGCUUUGUACCUUAGACUACACAUAAUUACAGAUAAAAAAAUAAUGUGAGAAAUUAGUUAUUUUUCUAUCCCAUCUUGUCUUAUCGAGAAUAUACUCCUCUUCGAUAUAUCUUAAGCUUUAAAAUAAUGUGGUGUAAAAUGUUAAAUCUUCUUUUAAAGUUGUUCUAUUCGAGAUCUAAACUUUACAAUAUAAGAGUAGGACAACUUAGUUUGUUGGCGAAUGUAGUGCAUUGAUCUUAAGAAGUUUUGAUUCGUAAGAGGACGUUAUUAUAAUAAUGGGUGAAAGAAUAGCGAUACAAACUAGCUGAAAAUGAUUCCAUGUGAAUAAAAUGGAUUGAAUUUUAUUGUAUCUUCUAUUAAAUGUAGCAAUGCACCAUAGAAGAGGUAGAAAAGAGAUCUCAAAUAUAAUUAAGUAAAGAAAAAAAAUUAAAGAAAGAUAUUCACAUCACAAAUCCUAAAUUGCGAUGAAAUUCAACAGACAUAAAUGUUACCUAUGUUUGUAUCAAAAUUUCUUUGAAAAGUUAGUAAUGGUAGUAAUGGAUAUUGAUACAGGUUUUGCGAGGGAACAAACAAGUUCUUCGCAAAACCCUAUCCUAAAAUUCUUCAAACUUUAUUAGAAAAUUCUUUGAAAUUAGUGAUUGAUUUUAGCAACAUAGUGAUUUCUUCAUAAAUUUGGCAUCUUUCAUUUUAUAUCAUUCUUUACUUUCGGAUGUCCUUGGAAAAUCUAUUGCCUACAAUCACAAUUUGGUCAUAUUUUACUUUUUCUUUAAAAUUUCGUGAUCCAUAUUGCGGCAGAGCAAGACAAUUGCAAAUUCUGUUCAUGAAAAUCUCAAUUUUGGCAUUUUUAUUUCUACUUUUUAGAUUUUGUGGCAGACUUUGGUAUAUAAUUUUGAAAAUCGGAAUUAUUUUUUUACUAACAAUCUAAAUUCUUUUUCAUAUUUUUUAACUUUGUGAAGAAUUUUGCGAACAUAUUUCAGGAGGGAAUGAUUCAAAUGGCUUUGAUUAAUCCAACCAAUUUUUAGUGGGAAUAAACUACUAAUGACAAGACUUUUAUGGAAACAUAGAACUAAACAAAUGGCUAUAAUUGAAUCGAAGAACUUUCAAAGUUUUGGAGCCUUUUGUCAUUUGAAAUAAUAUUAAUAUUUUGUACUAUUGAGUUAAGAUGAGGUUCCAAAAACUGCUAAUUCAUACAGAGCCAUUAAACCUGCCCAAAUAACAACCAACAGAUUAGACAACUUUACCAACAAAUGUAGAAAUUAAAACGUGCAAGAAAAUAAAAAAUUGAAGAACACAAAAGAUUUUUUGCCCUAAGGCAAGAGGUUUAGAACUAAGUUUCUAAUCCCCUUUUGUGCUUCUACCACCGGAAAAAAUCACUGGAUUAAAAUGGAACGAAAGAAACCAUCCUAAGUUGCACUUCCAGAGCACUCAGAAUGAAUCACUCAAGAUUACAUCACAUAAGCCCCUCGAUUUGUACAUUUGCUCACUCAAGAUAUACAUUCGAUUGAGAAGGAUUGCAAGAUUUUUCUCUCCAGAGAAAAAGAAGAAGAUGAGAGAACUUCAAGAGUCAGUAAAAAAAAAUGAAAAAUGGAUUCCAAUCGUCAAAACCCUAGGCAAAUGAACGAUCAAAUAAGAAGUCAUCAGAAGGUUAGCCAACCGACAAUUGUUAGGGUUGAUACUUGGCAUCAUCUUAUAAAUCAAGCCUACUAAGGAAAUCGCAUUUCAUAAAACAUGUUUUUGUAAAGAUGUAAAUGAUGUCAACUAUAAACCAUCUAUCCGAACAAAGUUUCAACCAACAAUCCAAUCAAUAGCCUAAUCAUAAUUGUGCCACAUUUUCCACGAUCUCUACAUUGGUACAAUGAUUUCAGUUUAAACUCACGGUGGUUCCUCCAAGACAUGACAUCAUUUGUUCGGUUACCUGAUACACAAAUUAGCAAGCGUUAGUAUUCAGCUGACUUAAACAAUCCUGAAAUUUGUUUAAAGGCAACACCUUGGUACCUAUAUCAACAGGAUUAAAAUAAGUAGAAAUAUUUUCAAGUUUCACAAUUCCUUGUAAAACUACAUCUGUAGUAAAAUGAAUCUAACAUCAAAAUGUUUAGAUCUAUUAUACAAAACAUGAUUUCUACUCAAGUAAAUGGCAAAUUAACUAUCUGAAUAAAGAACAACUUCAUUAACAAAACUAAAUUCAUUUAGUAAGCCUUUUAACCAUAUCUCGUCUUUAAUAGCAUCUGCAGCAACUAUAUAUUCAGCCUUAGUGAUGAUAAUGCAACAAUCUUUUAAAGCUGGGAUUUUCAGCUUAUACAGGAAUUACACAGAGUAUACAUAUAAGCCGAAGUGAAUUUUCUAUUAUCCAUGUCACCUUCAUAGUCAAAAUCAGUAUAUCCUCUUAAAACAAAACCAUAAAGUUGUUUCUUGAACUAAAUUCCUAAAUGAAAAGUGCCUUUAAUAUAUCUAAGAAGCCAUUUCAUUUCCUCCUAGUGAGCUUCUCCAGGGUUGCACAUAUAUCUACUUAGAACACUUAUAGAAUAUGCCAAAUUAGGUUUGGAACAGACCAUUAAGUACAUAACAAACCCAACUGCAUUGGAGUAAGGCACUUUUUCCAUUCUCUUAAAUUCUUCUAUGGAUUUAGGACAUUGUUCAUUUGAAAGUUUGAAAUGCUUUGGAAAAGGUAAACUUACACUUCUAGAAUCAAACAUAGCAAACGUUUUAUACAAUUUCAGUAUGUAUAAUUUCUGCCUAAAGUUUAGUGUGCUUUCUCUCCUAUUUUUCUUAACUUCAAUACCAAAAAUCUUUCUGAAAAGACCUAAGUCCUUCAUUUCAAAUCUGAUUUUAGUUUAUUUUUUAUUUCCUCUCUCUCUCUCUCUCUCUCAUGUCAUGACUUGCCAGCAGCAUGUCAUUCACAAAAAGGAGUAGAUAAAGAGAAAUUUCUCCACCAUUUCCUUUGUAGUAAAAACAGGUAUAAAAGUUACUUCUCUUAAAACCAAGUCCAAGUACAAAAGUAUCAAACCUUUUGUAUCAUUGCCUUGGAGCUUGUUUUAAGCCAUAUAGAGAUUUUUUAAGAAGGCAUAUUAAGUCAGCUUUCUGGUUUAUUUCAAAGCCUUUAGGCUUUUUCAUGUAAGUAGAUUCAUCAAGAUCACGAUUUAAAAAAGCUAUUUUUAACAUCCAAUUGAUCCCAUUCUCAAUUAAAUUGUGUAGCCAAGGCAUUAUCCUAAUAGUUGUAAAUUUUACAAUUGGUGAAUAGUUUUCAUUGAAAUCAACUUCUUCUUUUUGAGUAAAGCCCUUCUCCACAAAUCUGGCUUUACAUCUGAUGUCAUUUUCACUUUAUUCUUCUCUUUUAAUUUUGAAAAUUCAUUUACAAUCAACAACCCUUUUUUCCCUCAAGUCUUUUAACUAAAAUCCAUUAAAGGAUUGCAUUUUAUCUUGCACUACUGCAAGCCAAUGGUUAGAGUCAUUACUACUCAUAGGUUCUUCAAAGGACUCGAGCUCAUUUUUAAUCAUACUUUGAUAAGAUAGCAAUGAGGCAUCUUUAUCAAACCUAGCAGGAGAUCUUAUUUAUCUUCUUUGCCUAUCUCUAGCAAGUUGAUAGUCAUCUAAAGAUUGAUUUAUUUCUGAAUCAACCUUUAGUUCAUCAAUAGGAGCUCCAUCAUCAAGAGUUUCCUCAUUUCUCUCGAUGGGGUGUGCAUCAGUCCGAUGAGUUUCAUCAUCAGAAUGCUCCACCUCAUUGUCAAUCCCUUUUUCCACAUUUUUAGUCUAACUAAAGAGUUCUAUUUGUUUUUCAAUUUCAAGGCAGGGCAGAUCAUCUUCAUUAAAUAAAACAUUUCUAAUAAUCAUGAUCUUAUAAACUUUGGUUUUCCUUACCUAUAAUCUAUACCCCUUAACUCCAUCUCCAUAGCAUAAAAAUACACACUUAAGGGCCCUGGGUUCUAAUUUUCCUUCAGAUUGAUAUGCAAAAGAUACACAUCCAAAACUUUCCAGUUACUGAAGUCAACAGGUUUCCUAUUUCACACCUCUUCAGGAGUUUUAAAGUGUAUGGCACUAGCAAGGCUUCUACUAAUAAGAUAACUUGUAGUUUUAACAGCUUUACCCAAAAAUAUCUUAGGCAGUACAGAACUUAAAAGCGUCCAUCUCACUUUUUCAAGAGUAGUUAUAUUCUUUCUUUCAACCAAACCAUUUUGUUGUGAAGUGCGUGUCACAGUCUGUGACUUACUAUACUAGAGGAUUUGCACAACUCAUCAAAUUCAAGAUUACAGAAUUCCAAACCAUUAUCGGUUCUUAAACCUUUAAUCCUUUUAUCAGUUUGGUUUCAAUCCUAUUCCAUUCUUUAAAAACAUUGAAAGUGUCUGACUUUGAUUUUAAAAGAAAUGUCCAAUUUUUCUAGAAAAAUCAACAAUAAUUGACAAAAACUAUUUAAAGCCAGUAUGAGUUGGGACAAUAGCUGAUCCCUAAAGAUCAGCAUGCAAAUAUUCAAGCAUAGACACAGAUUUAUGCAUUCCAGGCCAGAAAUGUAACCUAUAACACUUUCCUAGAAUAUAAUAACCACAAAAACUAAGUUUCUCUAUUUAAUGCCCCGAAAAUUUUAGAAUAAAAAUAUAUUUGUCUUAUAUGUUUUAAUUUUAUAUUUUGAAAAUUUGAGGACUAAAAUGAAAUAGCUUCUAGUUUCAUAUUUUAUUUGGGUCAAAAAAUUAAGUACCGAUAGAAAGAGAUUUUAUAUAUAUUGAUAUUAUAUGCAAGUUGUCCCGUCCUUUCAAUAUUGUAAUUUUUGUUACAUGAUUUAUUUCAUGAAAUGCUAAUUGACCUGCGGGUCCCUAUGAAAUGAAAUGUGAGAUCGCCUUCGGGUCUUCUCAAAUGUGCUAGAGCUUUCGAUUGAUCACUGAUUGCUCUUGUUGAAAUAAUGGUAUGAAAUGUUAUAGAUUCAUGCUUUAAAAGUUAUCGUAUUGUUUGGACGUACGUAUCCUACUAAGUAUAAAUUACUCAUUCCUUCAAAAUUUAACAUUUCAGAUUAGGUCGGCCGACAUGGAUGGUGGUUGAGCGGUGCGCGGAUUGCCAAGCAAAGAAAAUAAACAUUUUAAAAUAACUCUAUUAGGAUAAUAUGUGUUUCAAUUUAAUUCCACUUAAUGUUCUAUGUUUACAUGACAUUAUGUUUACUUAAUUUGGGGCAUUACAGAAUAGCAUCAGAGCCCAGAGUUUUAAAAUCGAUUUUGCAAACUCAAAAAAAUUUGAUUUAAAAGUUACUGUUCACGUGAUUUUUUCCCUAUUUUAAAUGAUUGAGAUUUAAUGCAUUUGUUUAAUGUUAUGGUUUAAUUAGUCUUCAUUUCGUAUUGUUCAUGGUACAGUCUAUAUCAUUGGUUUCUUUUCCAUAUAAGUCAAGUUAUUAGUUAAAAUGACAAUUAAACAUUAAAGUAGUAAUUUAAUACACUAAUGGAAACCAAACGUGAUUUUCUACAUACUUUUAUACACUUAAUGUAAAUUAAAACCUCUUAGCUAUCAAUACAAGAGGCAUUGUUUUCAAACCAAAAUCGAUCAUACCUUACAUGAUUAAAAUAGUUUCCGUGCCUUGCAUAAAGUCAAGCAUGUGUUCUAAAUCCUAAAGUUUGCCGUUUAUUUGUACGUUUCAUAAUUCAAUUCUUACUUAUGGUGAUAAGGUAUGAGGUACCUUUUUAUAUUGUUGUAUUCUUGUUUUAAUGAUUUAAUUUAGAAUUCAUGUCAUGAUUUUGUCAUUCCUGCCUUCGGCUGGAAAUGUUAAUCAAUAGAAAUGUUAGGAAUUUUAAUCUACGUUCACGUCCUGUGAUUAAAUGUAUACAUAAAUAUGUUUAUAUUGUUCCUUCACUUGUUCAAAGCCAAGGACUCAUAUUUCCAAAUCAAGUACUAUGCUUUAAUGGUUUGUUAAUUUUCAAUUAAACCAUGUUUUGAAUGUCAGCUUUUUCUUUUUUAAAUAGUAAAAAAGCGGGUAGCUACACACUGCAUUAGUUGACUGAAUGACGAUGUGCCAAUUUAGGUGUAUAUGCAUUGAUUUCCUAUUUCAACUCUGCACCAAAAAUAAAAAAUAAAAAAAAGUGAUGAACAGUGACGGGUCAUUGUUCACCCCCAUGAACAGUUGACAAUAAUUUUUUUUUUUUAAUUGUUAUGUGUAUUAAAUGCGUAUGUAGCUAACCUUAACUUUACAUGCUAUUUAUUAUUACUUUCUUUAAGGUAUAAUUUAAAAGAUGUAAUGUAAAGUUUUUAUUAAAAUUCUUAAAUAUGUAAGAAUUUGAAAGAUUCAUGUCACUUGGCACUCACCAUUCAACCACCCUCCAAUUAAUCUAAAGUAUGAAAUGAAAUGUUAUUCUUUUAACAUGGUCAUGAAUUUUCUUACUCCAUUCUAUUAUGAGUACGUUAAUCAAAUAUUUUUAAAAUUUUCAAAUAGUUAAAGCAAUUUCGAGGACGAAAUUAUUUAAGGGGGGUGGGAUUGUAAUGCCCCGAAAAUUUUAAAAUAAAAAUAUAUUUGUCUUAUAUGUUAUAGUUUUAUAUUUUGAAAAUUUGAGGACUAAAAUGAAAUAGUUUCUAGUUUAAUAUUUUAUUUGGGCCAAAUAAUUAAGUACCAAUAGAAAGAGAUUUUAUAUAUCGAUAUUGGGCUCGUUUAAUAGCUCUUAUUUAAUCUUGUAUUUUAGGCUCAAGAAAAAGUUGAUUCGGAUAAGCUAAACUUAAGAUAUUGACGUUUAAAGAAAUUGGUAUUUAUUAGUAUUUUAUUGGUUUUUAACACUUAGCCGUGUCCACAUGAAUGGAGCUUUUUUCUUUUACAAUAGAUGUUUUUACUUUUCACCAAAUAAUAAAAUAUGUUCAACAUGGCACUAUGCAAAAAUAAUCUUGAACGUGAUUUUGGAUUCGGCCUUUCAAAAAGUGUUUUAUCUAACGAGGUAGGAUACUAUGUGCAAGUUGUCCCGUCCUUUCAAUAUUGUAAUUUUUGUUUAGUGAUUUAUUUCAUGAAAUGCUAAUUGACCUGCGAGUCCCUAUGAAAUGAAAUGUGAGAUCUCCUUCGGGUCUUCUCAAAUGUGCUAGAGCUUUCGAUUGAUCACCAAUUGCUCUUGAGGAAAUAAUGGUAUGGAAUGUUAUAAAUUCAUGUUUUAAAAGUUAUCGUAUUGUUUGGACGUACGUAUCCUACUGAGUAUAAAUUACUCAUUUCUUCAAAUUUUAACAUUUCAGGUUAGGUCGAUCGAUGUGAAUGGUGGCUGAGCGGUGCGCGGGUUGCCAAGUAAAGGAAUUUUUCUAGAAAACAUUUUAAAAUAAUUCUAUUAGGAUAUUAUCUGUUUCAGUUUAAUUCCGUUUAAUAUUCUAUGUUUACAUGAUGUUAUGUUUACUUAAUUUGGGACGUUACACUCUAAGUUAUCUUUUCGAAAGGCACAGUGUUUUUUCAAAAUCUGUAACCCUUUUGUCACAAAUAUGACCCAAUAUUUUGUGUCAUAUUUGUGACUUAUCAUUCUGUGAUGAGAUUUCUACUGAAGUAGAAUCACAAACAUUUUAAGUAUGUAGAAUGUAUAGUUUUAUCUCUUUGGGCUUCAACAAUCAGUUGUGAGUCCUUCAAGAUUUUAGUGUAUCCCUUUUUAAUCUAUAUGUUAUGUACUCUAAGUUAUCUUUUCAAAAGGCACAGUGUUUUUUCAAAAUCUGUAACCCUUUUGUCACAAAUAUGACCCAAUAUUUUGUGUCAUAUUUGUGACUUAUCAUUCUGUGAUGAGAUUUCUACUGAAGUAGAAUCACAAACAUUUUAAGUAUGUAGAAUUUAUAGUUUUAUCUCUUUGGGCUUCAACAAUCAGUUGUGAGUCCUUCAAGAUUUUAGUGUAUCCCUUUUUAAUCUAUAUGUUAUGGUUUAGGUCAUCUAAAACCUCUAGGGAAAUGAGAUUUCUUUGUAAAUCAGGAACAUAUCUAGUUUUCUCUCAAACUAGUUCAUUAUUAUCCUUUGCCUUUAAAGUGAUGGUUCUUAUUCCCUUUGCCUCACAUGUUAUAUGAUUGCCAAUUAAAACUUGACCACCACAAUUUCAAACUCCGUAAACUACUCUCUAUUUGGACACAUAAGAAAUGUGUAGCCUGAGUCAAGAAUCUUGUCUUGACUAGAUGGACUGUUUAUAGCAACAUAAACUUCAUUGUUAUAUGCCAAGGCCACAACACCAUCAAUUUUGGACUUAUUUCUCAUAUCAUUAAGACUGUUAGGACAAUCUUUGAUAAAAUGGUCCCCUCCUUGAUAGUAAAUACAUUUUUUCCUUUCAUUUUAUUUUUAAGAUUUCCCUUCUUCUCGUGUCCUGAUUUCUUAUUGAAGCUAACAUUCUUAGGAUUAAAUUUGGAUUUUUAGCCAUCAAGUCUUCCCCACUAAUAGAUUCUUUCCAUUCAGACCUUAACUCUAAUUCUUUGUUUCUCAAGGCAUUGAUUAUCACAUCAGUAAUUAGAGUUUCCCUCCCAUAUUCAAUAGCAUUCUUAACAUUUUUAUAUUUAUCACCAAUUAAGUUCAAUAAAACCAUGACCAACUGAUCUUUUUAGAGUUUCUUAUCAUAUUUGCUAGGUCAUGGGAUAAUCUGUUGAAUCUAUCAAUGUUAACCUCAAGAUCAAGAUAUGUAUCUAGUUUAAAACCAAAAAAUAUGUUUUAGAAUAUACACUUUAUUUGGAAUGGUUUUAUUCAACUAUGUAUUUUCUAACUUUUUCCACAGUUUUGCAGUAGUCUUUGUUUAUCCAAUUUCUCAAACUACAUUGCUGGACAAAUGUAAAAAAAUUGAGCUCCAUGCAGUUUCAUCAAGUUCAUUUUUUCUUAUUUUCUUCUAAAUCAUCUAGCCAUGUCUCAUCAAUAGCAUUCACACAUUUUGUUGAAGUAAAAUUGCUCUCAUUUUCGGCCAUCAGAGACUAAAGUUUCCCUUACCAUUAAAGAUAUUCAAUUCAAAUUUUGAAGAAAUCAUGAUCAAAAAAUUUGAGUGUCAACAAUGUAAGCAAAUCACCCUGACACUUUAAGAGUAUAUACAACUUGUAUAAACAAUAGUACAUUAAUGUCACAGCAAUUUAUUCCAAAAAAAGUUCGGUUAGCAAAGAGUGCUAUAUUACAAAGAACAAGUACAAGUCACAGUAUGCUAUACACAAUAAUCAAGAACACAUGCACAGGAUUUAAAUCUAGAUCUUUAAUUAGGGCAACUCUUAGAUUCCAGACAACUCGAAGGGUUUCUAGACAAAGGAAUUGCCAAAAAUGUCUCAGAUAUAGCAUUUUAAACAUGUCUGCAAAGGGACUUCAAGUAUAAGCAAGUGUUUUGUACCGUAAAUCUUAAAAUAAGAAUGAUCUCACCAGAUCCCUUUAUUAGGGUUUCAGGAAAUAGCAGAAACUCUAUUGAACAAGUAUCAUACUUUUAGAUCUAUGGUGAACCACCAUCUAACUGCUCUGAUACCACUGUUAAGAUUAGGUUCAAUCGAUUUAGCCCACUUUACACAAAUACGUAAAUUAAAACGUGCACGAAAAUAAAAAAUUGAAGAAUACAAAAGAUUUUCCCCCUAAGGCAAAAGGUUUGAACAAAUCGAAAGAAAUCGCUGGAUUAAAAUGGAACCAAAGAAACCGUCCAAAGUUACACUUUCAGAGCAUUCAGAAUGAAUCACCCAAGAUUACAUCAUAUAAGUUCCUUGAUCUAUACAUUUGUUCACUCAAGAACUCAUUACUCAACCAAUAUACUGAUCACUCAAGAUCUACAUUCGAUUGAGAGCGGUUACACGAUUUUUCUUUACAGAGAAUAAGAAGAAGACGGGAGAACUUCAAGAGUCAGUAAAAAAAAUGAAAAAUGAUUCAAAUCUUCAAGACCCUAGGAAAAUGAAUGAUCAAAUAAGAAAUCACCAGAAUGUCAGCCAUCCAACUAUUGUUAAGGUUGACAUUUGGCAUCAUCUUAUGCAUCAAGCUCACUAAGGAAAUCGCAUUUCAUAAAACACAUUUUUGUAAAGAUAUAAAUGAUGUCAACUAUAAACCAUCUAUCUGGUCAAAGUUUCAACCAACAAUCCAAUUAGUAGCCUAAUCAUCAUUGUGCCUCAUUUCUCUGCACUCUUGUAAUAUUUCCAACUUCCAAAUCAUUAAAGUGAAUAGUGGCUCUUAAAUGAUCUCUAGCGAAUUCAAAUAUAUGACUAUUUUGUCUGAGGAAUUCAACAUUUUGUAAAACAAGUCCCAAGACACUGUGCCAAUCCCAAGUCAACACAAAUUAUGUACAAUGUACUUUGGUUAAAUAAUUGAACAACAUUGGGAGGCAGUGACAUCUUGCAAUUAUUUAUUGAUGACUAGUCUGUAGGUUCAAUAGGCCAAAUUACAGUGCAAGAAUGAUAGAUCAAUAUCGUAAGUAGUAUGUUAUCCUACCUUAUUCAGAAAAUGUUUAAUUUUAAAUUAGGUGUUGGUUCUAUUAGAUUAAAGGCUUGUGGAAGCUUGUAUUUUAUUCCUCAUUCAUUACAAUCAAUAAAAUGCAAAAUAUAUACAUCUUACAAUGGUGAAUUAUGGUAAUAAUCACCAAAGGAAAGCAAACAAAAUCUCAAUCAAUUCCCUUAUAUAAAGGGAUUACAGAUUCCUAAAUAUACAGCAAGGAUUAUUUCCAAAGUUGAGUUGCUGUAAUCUUGGCCAAUUUUAACACUCCCCCCCCCCCAAGUUGAAGCAUGUAUAUCCAACAUGUUCAACUUGCUUCUUAGUUCCUUAAAUGCAUUUCCUCCUAGAGCUUUCGUAAAAACAUCUACCAACUGCAAGUAUGAUAGAACAAAUUUUGUUAUAAUCUGACCACCUUGUAUCUUUUCUCUUACAACAUGAUAGUCGAGUUCUAUAUGCUUGGUACACUCAUGAUAUACUAGAUUUACUACUAUGUGAAGUACAGCUUGAUUAGCACACAGUAGCUUUGCUGGUCCUGUUGACAUGUGUAUGUCAUUUAGCAAAAAUUUGAGCCAAGUUAGUCCACAAGUUGCGGCUGCAAUGGACCCAUAUUUAGCUUCUGAGGAUGAUCUUGAAACUAUUUUUUGUUUCUUUGUUUUCCAUGAGAUCAGUGAAUUUUCCAAGAAUACACAAUAACCUGUAGUUGAUCUUCUAGUCAUAGGAGAGUUUGCCCAAUUUGCAUCGCAAUAAGCCUUCAAGUUGAAAUAAUUUCUUGAUGAAAACAAUAGGCCCAGACCUAGACAACCUUUAAGAUAUUUAAUGGCAGUCGAGUUCUAUAUGCUUGGUACACUCAUGAUAAACUAGAUUUACUACUAUGUGAAGUACAGCUUGAUUAGCACACAGUAGCUUUGCUGGUCCUGUUGACAUGUGUAUGUCAUUUAGCAAAAAUUUGAGCCAAGUUAGUCCACAAGUUGCGGCUGCAAUGGACCCGUAUUUAGCUUCUGAUGAUGAUCUUGAAACUAUUUUUUGUUUCUUUGUUUUCCAUGAGAUCAGUGAAUUUUCCAAGAAUACACAAUAACCUGUAGUUGAUCUUCUAGUCAUAGGAGAGUUUGCCCAAUUUACAUCGCAAUAAGCCUUCAAGUUGAAAUAAUUUCUUGAUGAAAACAAUAGGCCCAGACCUAGACAACCUUUAAGAUAUUUAAUGGUGUGAAGAAUGGCAUCCCAAUGAGGCUUUCUUGGCACAUGCAUAAAUUGACUUAGAAUGUUAACUGAGUAUGCAAUAUCUGGUCUUGUGAUUGUGAGAUAGAUUAGCUGUCCAACUAAUCUCAUAUGGUGCUCUGGAUCAUGUAGCAAGUCACCUUGAUCAUUCGUGAGCUUCAGGUUCAUUUCCACUGGGAAAUUUGAAGGCUGAGCACCUAAGUAACCAAUAUAAUUUAUAAUCUCUAAAGUGUAUUUUUUAUUAGAGAUAACAAUACCUACUUUGGAUCUUGCAACUUCCUACCCAAGAAAGAAUUUUAGAGGGCCUAGAUCCUUUAUGUAAAAUUGUUUGUUAGAAAAUGUUUCAGACUUUGUAUAGUAGCAUUAUUAUUGCUCGUUAUCACUAUGUCAUCUAUAUAGAUAAGCACCAUAGUUGUGGAUGCACCUUUAGUCUUCACAAAUAAGGAAUAGUUUGAAUGUGAUUGAAUAAAGCCAGUUUUGAUAGCUUGAUAGAAUUUGCAAACCAGUUUCGAUGGGCUCAUUUAAGUCCAUAGAGGGACUUAUAGAGUCAUGUAUACAUCUUCUUCUAAAUCACCAUGGAGAAAGGCAUUUGUUACAUCCAUUUGAUACAAUGGCCAUUGUGUGGCUACAACAACGGCAAGAACAUAUUGAAUUGUUGUCAACUUGGCAAUAGGAGCAGAUGUUUUAUAAUCCAAGCCUUCUUGCUGAGAAAAUCCUUUAGCAACUAAUUGAGCUUUGUAGCCUUUGAUCAUACCUUUGGAAUUGUACUUGAUAUGAUAUACCCAUUUACAACCAAUGGGAUGAUGACCAGAGGAUAAUGGAACCAGAGACCAUGUCUUUUGAGCAUUAAGUACAUCAAGUUCAAGCCGUAUGGCCUCUUGCCAUUUAGGAUCUGUGGCUGUCUAUGUAUAAGAAGUGGGUUCUAGAAUGCUGUAAAUAGUGUUAACGAAAUGUUUAUGUUGAGAUGACAAGGAAUCAUAGGAAAUCUAGUUACUUAAAGGAUAUCAAGUACCUAACUUAGUUGAAGAAUCUUGGAUUAGAGAUGCAGUUAGUGGUGAUGUACUAGCAUGUCCACAGUGAAAAUCUUGAAGGUGAAUGGAUAGUUUUUUGGUGCGUUCACUUCUACGAAGAAAAGGUGUUGCAGAUGUCAUUGGCGAAGGAGAAUGAGGGAUAGGAGUGAUCUCAAGUAAUGGCGAUUCUGUUGCAUUGGGAAGAGGAAGUGAAUUGAUAUGGUAUUCAGUUAACUUAGGUUGUGAGACAGAAUUUUCUAUUGAGAUUUCGGAAUCAUGGAAAGUGAAAACUUCCUCAUGAAAAAUGACAUCACGGCCGGAGAAAAAUUGGUGAUUGUUGUGGUCAUAUAAACGAUAGGCUUUUUUUCUAUGGGUAACCAACAAAGGUGCAUUUUCUUGCAGGAGAAUCAAAUUUAUGCGAUGGGUGCAAAUUUGUUGCAUAACAAGGACAUCCAAAAACUCUUAAAUUAGAAUAAUUUGGUGGCUUGUUAUACAACAUUUCAUAUGGAGAUUUGUAGUGAAGUACUGGAGUGGGAAGAUGAUUAAUCAGGUAUGUGGCAGUAAGUAAACUCUCUCCCCAAAAUUUUAAGGGGAGAUUAGCAUGAAGUCUUAAGGCCUUGCCAAUGUUUAAAAGGUGCUGAUGUUUUCAUUCAACCACACCAUUUUGUUGAGAUAUAGAUGGACAAAAACUUUGGAAUAAAAUACCAAGACUGGAAAAUAUGACUUCAUGGAUGUGAAUUACGAGUCAUUAUCACUUCGAAUACAUUUAAUUUGGCAAUUAAACUGAGCUUUAACAAAAGAGACAAGUUUUUAGCAACCGUUACGUUUCAGAUUUGAACUUUAUUAAAAAUAUCUCAGUGUAGUGAGUAUAAUCAUCAACGAGAGUUAAAAAAUAAUGAGCUCCUAUAUGAGUUGCAAUACAAAGAGGUCCCCAAAUGUUACAAUGAAUAAGAUCGAAUGAAUGUGAAGUUUGAAUUAAACUAGAAUGAAAAGGAAAUCUUGUUUGCUUAGCUAAAUGACAAGUUUCGCAAAAGUACUUAGGAUCAAAUACUAUAGAUGGAAAAACAUGACUUAAAAACUGUAAAGGUCUCCUUGAUGGAUGUCCUAACCACUGGUGCCAUGGAAUUUUAGUUGUGGAGUCCACGUGGAGUCCACGAAAUAGUAAAAGCCAUUAAGUUGGUUCCCCAAGGCAAUCAUUUUCUUCGAAGUUAUGUCCUACAAUACACAAAAAGUAGGAUAGAAGUAGAUUGAACAAUUCAUGGUAGUUGUGAGUUGACUAACUGACAACAAAUUGACAUUGAAAGAAGGAGCACAGAGGUUGUUUUUAACAUGUAUGUGAUCUGAAAGUUGUGUAGAACCAACGAUAAUUAUUUCAGAGUGAGCACCAUUAGGCAAGGUCACUUGAGAAGAGAAGUGAGAGGUAAUAGAGACAGAUGUGGCUAUGUGAUUAGUAUCACCACUAUCGAUAAUCCAGUGGUUCAAAGUUGUCUUUUGUGUGAUAAAGGAGAAGCGGAAAGGAAAAGGGAUACCUGCAUAAUUUGCUUGAGAAAAGUUUUUACCAUUGAGAAGGGCUUUAAUUUGAGUGAGUUCUUCAGGAGUGAAUUGAAAAGCAGCAUUCAUGGAAGCCAUGUGGGGUUGGUGACUGAUCUGAUUGCUUGCUUGGUGAGCAGUAGGUUUUCUGCUCCAAUUCGACGGCUGAACUUCUUUUCCAUGAAGUUUAUGACCAGGUGGAAAACCAUUUAGAUAAUAGCAACGGUCCAGAGUAUGGGUAGUGCCUUCAUAGUAAGAACACAAUUGUGAUUUUCGAUCCCUUUGUGACCUUGAAUGAGAGGCUGACCAUUGUUUCUUUUGGCGUGAAGAAGCAGAUUGUGUUUCCCUAGAAUUGUCAUAAGUAUUGAUAUUCAUGACAUGAAUAAGAUCACUACUCUUUGUUUCAAUGAGACCUUGCUGCUUUUCUUCUUCACAUAGGAGGGAGUAUGCUUUUUUUUACAGUUGGUAAAGGCUACAUGAGCAUGAUUUUUCCCUGAACAACAUAGUAUGUUUCAUUUAAUCCCAUAAGGAAUUGUUGAAGUCGAAUUCUUUCUUCUUUGCCUUUUAAAUCUUUUAGUGCUCCAUAGGUAUAAUUGAUUAAGGGACUGCAAGUGGCAAGUUCAUCCCACAGCAUUUUCAUCUUUGUGUAAUAAGAGAAAAUUGAUUCUUGGUCUUGUUUUAGUUCAACAAUGGAUUUCUGAAUUUGAUAAUGAUGAGAAAAAUCACCGUGAGAGAAUUGCUCUUGAAGAUCUGUCCAGACUUCUGAAGGCAUUUCAGCAUAUAGUACAUUAUUUGUUAGCUUUAAACUUAGAGAAAUGAAUAUCCAAUAAGCACCAUAUCAUUGCAUCGUUGCCAUAGAGGAUAUUUUGGAUCUUUUUCAUCUGAGAUAUAUACAAUUCCUUUGAUGAAUCCUAACUUGUUCUUGGCACUAAGACUUAUCAGCAUGAAUCUUUUCCACAUGGCAUAAUUUGUUCCAUCCAAUACCUUUGGAAUGAAGAUCAUGCCAGGAUGAUUGGAAGGGUGAAGGAAUAAUAGAUCUAUGGGAUCAAUUGUUGGGAUAGACAUGAUCAGAAAGGUCGAAAAUUUUCAAUAGUAAUGGAUCAAUGCUCUGAUACCAUAAUAGAUUAAAGGCUUGUGGAAGCUUGUUUUUUAUUCCUCAUUCAUUACAAUCAAUAAACUGCAAAAUAUAUACAUCUUACAAUGGUGAAUAACAGUAAUAAUCACCAAAGGAAAGCAAAUAAAAUCUGAUUCAAUUCUCUUAUAUAAAGGGACUACAGAUUCCUAAAUAUAUAGUAAGGAUUAUUUCCAAAGUUGAGUUGCUAUAAUCGUGGCAAAUCUUAAUAGGUUCAUCCUUGAAGUCAUCAUUUCGAAUUUUGAUUUUAAUUCUUAAAGAAUGAUAAACUUGUGAAUUAUACAUAUUGUGAUGAUAAACUGGCUUUAAUACUGGUUGAGUAAACUCUUAAACUUAAAAAUUUUUUUUUUCAUUCAAAUUCUUGAGAUGGAUUUUGAAUUUUUCUGUAAUUCAACAUUGCAAUAAAUUAGUUGUACUUUUGAUGUUGGAUUUCACUUGCUGAACUUAGAAGCAACCAGGAAAGAAAUAUUUUGACCUAUAUUGGUGUCUAAUCAUAAUCAGUACUUCGUAAGCUUAUUAAUAUUUCAUGAUUAACAUAGAUAUGUUAAUUAUGUUGAAUUUAACAUAUUUAAGAAUGGGGAAAAACAUAUGAUAGAUUCAAUAAUUGUUGUAACACAGCCAGAUAAUUUUCCAAAGAUGCACCCUUAUACCAUGCGAUGAGAAUACAACCUUUGCUUCAGAUGCAAUUUACUCGUCGAACUUUUAGUCAUGCAUAAUUGCACCAGCUUCAACCACAACAAAGCUUCUGUCUUCUCUUUUAAAACAUCCUUAAGAAUAUUGUUACAGAGGUGAAGAUAAAUCUGUGAAAGUGCAUUCCAAUCCUUCCAUCAUUUCUCCUCUAUUGUCUAAAUUGUGGGCAUCUUGUUAAAUCCAAACAGCGCAUCAUCCAAAUCCAUCUGCACCAAUACAAUUAGCACCUUCACUUGCCACAAUGAAAAUCAAGUAUUACAAUCCAAAAGCGAAAUUUUAUAUUUCAGGGCUGUCAUCGAUAACAGAAAAUCUCAAACAAAAUCACAACUUUGCUCUGAUACAAUUGUUAGAAAUAAACAAGUUAUCAGAAUAGCUCUAAUACCACUUGUUAUGAUAUACAAUAUGAAGUAUAUGAUCGCACACAGAAAAUAAGACAUAGAUUGGCAGAGGUACCGAGUAUUUUAUCUGACAAUCAAUGGAGAAAAUAAUAUUGUUGCAGCAAUCUCAACAAUUUUUAAACUAAAUGAAGAGUCUAUUAUUUAUAGAGUACAUGUCAAAUCCCUAUAGGUAACCUGUCAAAUCACCAGAAGUAACCAAAAAAUGGAAACUAGAUCAAAAUACGCGUGAAACCAACAUAAAGAGAAAAUCCUGGACAGUGUUGUCACUUGAGCGACAUCUAGUGCCAAGUGAGUGAUUGUCCUUUCACUCGAGUGAGAGGUCGGCGAUAGGCAAACAACAGGUCUCUGCUCCUAAUGUUCGUAGUAAAAAUGCGGCGAUUUUUCUUUCCGAUUCACAAUUUUGAGUUCUUUAAGACCACUUUAACAAAAAGUCCAAUAAUCACUAGAUUUGGAUCAAACUACAACAGCUAAGUGCAAUUGGUAAAUUUUUAACAAAGAGAUCGACCUAAAAAUCACAACGAGGUAAUUGAACAUCAGUCUUAAACUUCAUGGGUAAUUUGGAAAUGAUCUUUUACGGAGUGAGGAUUAAACAGAUCCGAUUUAAUCGAUUCUAGACAAGUAUAAGAUAAAGAUAUGCUAAAUAUGAGUUACUUUACAUUUAUUGUUAAGCUCAAGAAAAGUUUAUAUUGUCAGGAAAAUUUUGGCCUGGAUUCCCAAACUAUAACCCCUUCACAUUCGAAUUUUCAUAGUUUUUAAAUCCUAAAAUUUUGAUUUAUUUGGGGGUGGGGGGUUUCGAUGAAACUGUUAAAAAUAUGUUACCAAUCAUUUGAAAUAUUCAUUUAAAGGAAUUUUAGUUCAUCACCUCUAUUUCUUUGGAGGAGGAGGAGGAGGAGAAAGAUGACGAGGAUGACGACGACAAACAAUAAAAGAAAGGAGAAUGAAAACAGGAAAAAAAAUAUGAAAAACGGAAAAAUAAAAUAAAAUUCUCCUGACAGAUAAAUAUUUAUUUAAGAUCACUAGUAUAAAAGGAUGUUUAACUAAAUAAAAAAUUGUUAUAACAAAGUAGUGUCAAGGUUCCUUGGAAUCGAUAUUUAGUUGGCAUCUCUCUAGGAAAAGAAUAGUACAUUAGUCUAAUUAAAAAAUAAAUAAAUAAAUAAACUCGCAUUUUGGCCUUGCAUUAAACCGAGGUUCCUUAGCAAUGAUAUUCAAGAAGUUACAAUUGCUAUUUAGUUGAGUAAUCUAUUCAACUUUUAUUUUUAUUUUUAAUUUCAUAUGAGUGAAUAUCAUUUUUCACAGUUUCAAAGUUAUUAACAAAAAUAACGAGUAAAUAAUACAAUUAAUUUUUCUAAUGGAUAUGAAUUAAAGAUAAUUAACACUUUGGCAAACAGUUGGAUCAUUAGAAAAAAUUUGAAAAAUUAUAUUAACAUAAUUUAAUCUCUAAUUGCCAGUUAAUAAAUAUUAUGGUGGACUUUUUGAAAGGUAUUCCACGGAGUUUUCUUCAAAGUUGCUUAAUUUUAUUAAAAAUCUAAUUUAAAAAAAAAAAAAAAAAAUUUUGAGCUUCCAAAAUGUUUCCUUUCAAUUUUAGAGACACGUUUUAAACGAAAGCAUUAGCAUUCUAGACGUCUUUAAACAGUCUAGUAUAGGGUUCAGGGAGUGGGAGGGUUGGCAGCCGAACUUUGGCUUAUUAACAUACUAAUUUAAAUGCUUAGGCAUUUUCUCCUCUAUAAAUUGAGACCAAGCCCCAGCAAUGCAUCAAGCAUCUCCGACAAUCUCUUCCUUUUAAAGAUGAAGGCAUCAGGUAUUGCACUCUACGUUGUUCUCCUACUAGCCGUAGCCGAGCCACUUGUUUUCGCGGCAGGAGGAUGUGUUAUGAGUGAACUGCUACCUUGCGCAUCUGCCAUCGCGUCUGGUACUCCACCUUCAGUAGAGUGCUGCACUAAUUUAAAGCAACAGCAGCCUUGCUUUUGCCAGUACCUCAAAGACCCAAGCUCAAAACAGUAUGUUAACUCUCCCAACGCCAUGAAGGUUGCUCGUGCUUGUGGAGUGUCUAUUCCCACUAAUUGUUAACUAUCUAUGCUUAUGCCAAGAGAGUACUUAGGA
rnacentral:lncRNA from 1 species